UGGGGAAUUUUGGACAAUGGGCGAAAGCCUGAUCCAGCAAUGCCGCGUGUGUGAAGAAGGCCUUCGGGUUGUAAAGCACUUUUGUCCGGAAAGAAAUGGCUCUGGUUAAUACCUGGGGUCGAUGACGGUACCGGAAGAAUAAGGACCGGCUAACUACGUGCCAGCAGCCGCGGUAAUACGCAGGGUCCAAGCGUUAAUCGGAAUUACUGGGCGUAAAGCGUGCGCAGGCGGUUGUGCAAGACCGAUGUGAAAUCCCCGAGCUUAACUUGGGAAUUGCAUUGGUGACUGCACGGCUAGAGUGUGACAGAGGGGGGUAGAAUUCCACGUGUAGCAGUGAAAUGCGUAGAGAUGUGGAAGAAUACCGAUGGCGAAGGCAGCCCCCUGGGAUGACACUGACGCUCAUGCGCGAAAGCGUGGGGAGCAAACAGG
rnacentral:rRNA from 1 species